AAACGAACGCUGGCGGCAGGCCUAACACAUGCAAGUCGAGCGAGGUAGCAAUACCUAGCGGCGGACGGGUGAGUAACGCGUGGGAACGUGCCCUUUGCUUCGGAAUAGCCCCGGGAAACUGGGAGUAAUACCGAAUGUGCCCUUCGGGGGAAAGAUUUAUCGGCAAAGGAUCGGCCCGCGUUGGAUUAGGUAGUUGGUGGGGUAAUGGCCUACCAAGCCGACGAUCCAUAGCUGGUUUGAGAGGAUGAUCAGCCACACUGGGACUGAGACACGGCCCAGACUCCUACGGGAGGCAGCAGUGGGGAAUCUUAGACAAUGGGCGCAAGCCUGAUCUAGCCAAUGACCGCGUGAAUCGAUGAAGGCCUUAGGGUUGUAAAGAGUACUUUCAGAUGGGAAGAUAAUGACUGUACCGUCA
rnacentral:rRNA from 1 species